GGAUGGGGAUGCGUCCGAUUAGCCAGCCGGCAGGGCAGCGGCCUACCGGGGCGACGAUCCAUAGGGGUUCUGAGAGGAAGGUCCCCCACACUGGCACUGAGACACGGGCCAGACUCCUACGGGAGGCAGCAGUGAGGAAUAUUGGUCAAUGGGCGAGAGCCUGAACCAGCCAAGUAGCGUGCAGGAUGACGGCCCUACGGGUUGUAAACUGCUUUUGCGGGAGAAUAACCGGCGCCACGCGUGGCGCCCUGCAUGUAUCCCGCGAAUAAGGACCGGCUAAUUCCGUGCCAGCAGCCGCGGUAAUACGGAAGGUCCGGGCGUUAUCCGGAUUUAUUGGGUUUAAAGGGAGCGCAGGCGGAGGAUCAAGCCAGCCGUGAAAUGGCGGCGCUCAACGCCGUCCGGCGGUUGGAACUGGUCCCCUUGAUUGCGGGAGAGGAAGGCGGAACUCGUGGUGUAGCGGUGAAAUGCAUAGAUAUCACGAAGAACCCCGAUUGCGAAGGCAGCCUUCCGGCCCGUGAAUGACGCUCAUGCUCGAAGGCGCGGGUAUCAAACAGGAUUAGAUACCCUGGUAGUCCGCGCGGUAAACGAUGAAUGCUCGGGAUUCGGCUGUUAGGGCUGAGUCCCCCAGCGAAAGCGUUAAGCAUUCCACCUGGGGAGUACGCCGGCAACGGUGAAACUCAAAGGAAUUGACGGGGGCCCGCACAAGCGGAGGAACAUGUGGUUUAAUUCGAUGAUACGCGAGGAACCUUACCCGGGCUUGAAAUGUGCCUGGCGGCCGGCAGAGACGCUGGCCUCCUUCGGGCAGGCAUGUAGGUGCUGCAUGGUUGUCGUCAGCUCGUGCCGUGAGGUGUCGGCUCAAGUGCCAUAACGAGCGCAACCCCUUCCGCCGGUUACCAUCGGGUAACGCCGGGGACUCCGGCGGCACUGCCAUCGCAAGAUGCGAGGAAGGCGGGGAUGACGUCAAAUCAGCACGGCCCUUACGUCCGGGGCCACACACGUGUUACAAUGGGGGGCACAGAGAGCGGGGGGAUGGCGACAUUCCCCGAAUCAAUAAAUCCCCUCCCAGUUCGGACUGGAGUCUGCAACCCGACUCCACGAAGCCGGAUUCGCUAGUAAUCGCGCAUCAGCCAUGGCGCGGUGAAUACGAACCCGGGCCUUGUACUCACCGCCCGUCAAG
rnacentral:rRNA from 1 species